rnacentral:rRNA from 1 species
CGCGUGGUUCUAUUUUGUUGGUUUCUAGGACCGCCGUAAUGAUUAAUAGGGACAGUCGGGGGCAUCAGUAUUCAAUUGUCAGAGGUGAAAUUCUUGGAUCUAUUGAAGACUAACUACUGCGAAAGCAUUUGCCAAGGAUGUUUUCAUUGAUAAGGAACGAAAGUUAGGGGAUCGAAGACGAUCAGAUACCGUCGUAGUCUUAACUAUAAACUAUGCCGACUAGGGAUCGGACGAUGUUAUUUUUUGACUCGUUCGGCACCUUUCGAGAAAUCAAAGUGCUUGGGCUCCAGGGGGAGUAUGGUCGCAAGGCUGAAACUUAAAGAAAUUGACGGAAGGGCACCACCAGGGGUGGAACCUGCGGCUUAAUUUGACUCAACACGGGGAAACUCACCAGGUCCAGACACAGUGAGGAUUGACAGAUUGAUAGCUCUUUCUUGAUUCUGUGGGUGGUGGUGCAUGGCCGUUCUUAGUUGGUGGAGUGAUUAGUCUGCUUAAUUGCGAUAACGAACGAGACCUUAACCUGCUAAAUAGCCCGUAUUGCUCCGGCAGUACGCUGGCUUCUUAGAGGGACAAUCGGCUCAAGCCGAUGGAAGUUUGAGGCAAUAACAGGUCUGUGAUGCCCUUAGAUGUCCUGGGCCGCACGCGCGUUACACUGACAAAGCCAGCGAGUAUUUCCUUGGCCGGAAGGCCCGGGUAAUCUUGUUAAACUUUGUCGUGC